CAUGAUUCUAGGUGAUAUUAUGGCAGGGACAGUGGUGGCUAGCGACACAUCAGUCAACUCUGACUUGUUCUGACCUACUUGUCUUCAAAAGUCAGGAUCGUCUCCUCUCAAUGCUCCAGAAGCUUCACAACCACCGACACUCUCUAGUUCUUCCCCCUGGCUUGCUUUCCUGGCUCCUGGAUGCCCCGGGGAUAUGUGGCCACGUACCGAACAUCUCUCAGGCUGGAACUGUCUAAGCAGGACGAACAGCAAAGCCUAUUGCCGCUGGUAGGAGUGCUUAAGGCCGAGGAGGUGCAGGCCACUCCAGUGACCUCCAGGGGACUCAGAAAAUCACAAGGACAUUCACAGUGGAGUCCAAAAAUAGCAAGGGAAAUUAAAGCCAGGGAACUAAAUGCUAUGCCUGAGACCUCCUCGCCAGCGCAGGGUGCAUCGAGACUCCGCAGCUCCCAGGGUAGCUGAGACACCCAUCUGUUCUCGGGUGCGAUUCCUCCCAGUGUGGCCGAUUUGAAGCUUCUAACCCAGGGUCACAGACAGUGACUUAGGGAAGAAGUGAGCAGGAGAAGCGUCUUGCAUCGUCGUUGUACUUCAUCAGGCUGAUCCAGGCAGAAGGAACCUCGGGGACAUAGGAACAGGCAGACAUCCCGCUGUCUGAUUUGUAAAUAGAGUUUUAGUGCAACCCCACUGCGCCCAGCUGUUGACACACUGGCUACUGUCACCUUUGAUAAGCAGGAAGUAAAUAAUACAAGAAACGCAGUGACCCACGGAGCGUCAAAUCCCACCUGUGCCUUCACAAGGAGGUUCUGUGACCUAUGACACCGCUGAAAA